rnacentral:ribozyme from 1 species
UGCCCAGCAACUCCUAUCCCUACCUCCUCGCGGUACUGGCCGUAAACUUUGAGUAACCUUAGUGAAGAUUCCCAACCCCGGUGGGAACUUUGGUCGUAGGCUGACAGGGAAGG